rnacentral:lncRNA from 1 species
AAACAGAAGCUUAAAUCUGAGGGUAUGUUUGGUUCAUGAUUGGAUUAAGAAUAAAAAAUAGAAUUGAAUUGUUUUAGAAUGGAAAAUAGAAUGACGACUAUUCAAAAGUGUUUGGCUCAUUAUUGGAAGGAAAAUCGGAAUAAGAAUUCAAAAUUUUGAGAGAGGAUUUUGAUUAAGAGAGAGGGGAGUGAUGAAGGGAGAGGAGGGAGAGGUGUUUGUGAGAGAGUAAUUUUGAUUAGUUUAGUUCGGAAUGAGCCAAAUUAAUUGGACCAUAAAUGAAUUCGAUAAUAUUUCUAUUUCUGAGUAUAAAUCAAAUUCUAACUUCUGCAAAACAAACGACGGCUAUCGAAAUCAAUAAAUUUUUUUUCGAUCUUACAAAUCUAAAUUAGGUGAACCGAACAU